ACUUGAGACUAUUAUAUUCAUAAUACAUACAAACUCGUCUGAUCUCAGAAGCUAAACAGGGUUAUGCCUGGUUAGUACUGGAUGGGAGACUCCUGGAAUAUCAAAUGCCACAGGAG
rnacentral:rRNA from 1 species